GACGAACGCUGGCGGCGUGCUUAACACAUGCAAGUCGAACGAAGAGCGAUGGAAGCUUGCUUCUAUCAAUCUUAGUGGCGAACGGGUGAGUAACGCGUAAUCAACCUGCCCUUCAGAGGGGGACAACAGUUGGAAACGACUGCUAAUACCGCAUACGAUCUGACCUCGGCAUCGAGGAUGGAUGAAAGGUGGCCUCUAUUUAUAAGCUAUCACUGAAGGAGGGGAUUGCGUCUGAUUAGCUAGUUGGAGGGGUUACGGCCCACCAAGGCGAUGAUCAGUAGCCGGUCUGAGAGGAUGAACGGCCACAUUGGGACUGAGACACGGCCCAGACUCCUACGGGAGGCAGCAGUGGGGAAUCUUCCGCAAUGGACGAAAGUCUGACGGAGCAACGCCGCGUGAGUGAUGACGGCCUUCGGGUUGUAAAGCUCUGUUAAUCGGGACGAAAGGCCUUCUUGCGAAUAGUUAGAAGGAUUGACGGUACCGGAAUAGAAAGCCACGGCUAA
rnacentral:rRNA from 1 species